rnacentral:ncRNA from 2 species
UUAAUAUUGAUAGUAUUAGGUGCUGCCAUUAAUUGUAAAUGGAAGUUAAAAGGGAAAGUGGAAAAGCCACUGCAGCCCGCCGCUACUGUGAGGAUGAUGAAACCUUAUUCAUAAGUGAGUCACUGGAUAAUUUUAUCUGGGAAGACAAGGGAGUAAAAUGAAUCUGAGCCAGGAAACCUGCCUAGUAUCUUGUUGAUUC